rnacentral:rRNA from 1 species
UACGUAGGGUGCGAGCGUUAAUCGGAAUUACUGGGCGUAAAGCGUGCGCAGGCGGUUGUGCAAGACCGAUGUGAAAUCCCCGGGCUUAACCUGGGAAUGGCAUUGGUGACUGCAUGGCUAGAGUGUGUCAGAGGGGGGUAGAAUUCCACGUGUAGCAGUGAAAUGCGUAGGGAUGUGGAGGAAUACCGAUGGCGAAGGCAGCCCCCUGGGAUAACACUGACGCUCAUGCACGAAAGCGUGGGGAGCAAACAGG